rnacentral:rRNA from 1 species
GAGGCGUUGACCGUGGUGGUAUAGGAGGAGGAUGAGGUAGCCAACACUGUUUUUAUAUAUAUAUAUAUAUUUUUUUUUUUUUAAUUGGGGUAGCCCCCAAAAUAUUGGGACAUAUAAAAAAAAAACACCCCUGUUCCGCAGAGUAGCUGUUGAUAUUAUAGUUGCGCAGGAACUUUGUUGACUCUAGAGAACCUCGGGCAAAUCGCACAUCCCCAUAGCGGCGACUUUGCAUGCGGAUGUCAUCCAUAUCAACCUUCGAUGCCAGUUUCUGCGCCUACCAUGGUGACCACGGGUAAUGGGGAAUCAGGGUUCCAUUCUGUACAGGGACCCUGAGAAACGGCUAGCACAUGCAAAGAAGGCAGCAGGUGCGCAAAUGACCCACUCCCGACGCGGGAAGGUAGUGAC